AUAUGUUGUCGUUGUCUCGUAGGACGAUACGACUUUCUCUUUAGAAAAACGGUCCCUCAAACCGCGAGAUGGAAAACUGGUCAUGCUCUAAAUGCAGCCACGUAAAUACAUAUAAGCUUCUCCUCUCCUUAAUUCGGAGAUUCAGUCAGCUAUUCUACGACGAUCACGAUGAGAUUAUUGUGUACGCUAUUUAUACUCAGUCUGCUUCAAAUAGUGAUGUUUACUGCGAUGAUAAAUUGCGAUGAAUCAAGAAGCGUUAUACGUCACAAAAUUGGAAAAAAAGAUGAUGUUGAACGGGUCAAAAUAAAAGUUUUCCGUGGCCCUAUGCAAG